rnacentral:rRNA from 1 species
UACCAGCACCCCGAGUUGUCGGGACGAUUAUUGGGCCUAAAGCGUCCGUAGCCUGUUCUGCAAGUCCUCCGUUAAAUCCACCUGCUCAACGGAUGGGCUGCGGAGGAUACCGCAGAGCUAGGAGGCGGGAGAGGCAAACGGUACUCAGUGGGUAGGGGUAAAAUCCAUUGAUCCAGUGAAGACCACCAGUGGCGAAGGCGGCUUGCCAGAAUGCGCUCGACGGUGAGGGAUGAAAGCUGGGGGAGCAAACCGG